UAGAGUGCUCAAGCAGACUCUGCUAAAACACUGCAGCGUGACUUGGCUGUUGCUGAAAGGCGUUUCCCAGGCUGGUCUGCUGGCUCCUAAACAUGAUGUCCAGCACACUGAUAGGACGUGGGAGAUUCCUGUCCUUUCCACUCUUCAGUCUGCUCCAGCCCACCCACGUCGUACGUGGCCCUGGAUCCUUCAUGUUCAUGAAGUUCCCAGAAAUCCACAGCAGCAUGCCUGCCAAGCUCUCGGUGGGCAUCGUUCUCAAGGUCGUUGUUAUUGCGUGAGAGGCUGGGGCUGCCGCAUUGACUCAUUCUUUAUCAAAUCUGUGGAUGGUCCUCAGAGCCCUGGAACAUUGGCAACAGCUAGGAAACAGAGACCCAAGAAGGAUUUACUCAUGGCCAGAAGCAGUUUGUUGCAGAGCUGAGAGGAUCCAGGUCCACUUGUAUGGAAUCUUGACAGGCGAUUGGCCAGACUGUGAAGGAAAUCCUGCCACCUCCCAUGUCUAAACCCACCCACCAGUCCAGCCGGGGAAACUUUGGAUCAAAAGGAUACCUGUCCAGACUCUAGAACCUGCCUGGAAGGGACCCAGCCCUGUCAUCCUCACCAUCCCAACUGCUGUGAAAGUAGCUAGUGUCGUCCCUUGAAGUUAUCACUCCCAAUUAAAGAAAGCCAUUGAGGAUGACUGAC